rnacentral:rRNA from 1 species
UACGUAGGGGGCAAGCGUUGUCCGGAAUCAUUGGGCGUAAAGCGCGCGUAGGCGGCCCGGUAAGUCCGCUGUGAAAGUCAAAGGCUCAACCUUUGAAUGUCAGCGGAUACUGCCGGGCUAGAGUCCGGAAGAGGCGAGUGGAACUCCUGGUGUAGCGGUGGAAUGCGCAGAUAUCAGGAGGAACACCGAUGGCGAAGGCAGGUCUCUGGGCCAUAACUGACGCUGAGAAGCGAAAGCAUGGGGAGCGAACAGG